AAAAGAAUAAAAAAAAAAGAGUAAAUCAGAACUUUAGUGGUGAGCAGCUGUGAACAUAUCCAUGCCAAUUACUGAAAUAAUGGAUGAGUGUGUAUGCAAAACCCACGGUAUUUCUCGAGAGCAGAAUACUCUAGAAUAUCUAGAGUAGACAAUAGAUGGAGUGGUUUUGUUUCUUAGGAAAUGAGCUGUAUGACUGCUAAAGUCAAGUCACUUUACUUUCCUCACUCUGUCUCCUCAGUAGGACAUAGAGUGAGAAAAGACUCAGGAUCAAACUGAGCAAUUCAAGUAUGUUUGUUUGAAUAAAACAAGGAGGGGGCCAUGGAUGAUAAACUGAAGGUUAUGCAUAUAAAGGCUGGCAUGGUUUGUUUUCUCUCUCUCUCUCUCUCUCUCUCUCUCUCUCCCUCUCUCUCUCUCAGAAAACUUUUGCUAAGUACCUACUCUGUACCAUAUCUUGUUGCUUUUGCUUUUGGUUUGGCAGGCCUCUGACUCAAGAUCCUCCUGCCUCAGCCUUCCAAGAGUUGGCAUUGCAGACAUACACCUCCAUGAACAACAUUCAGCUUCUAGGGAUUUAGUAUUGAGGGGAAAAAAAAAUACGUACCAUGUUGACUAAGAAGAGCAGGAAAUAAACAGAUAACUUUAUAUAACUAUAGAUGUGCCACUAAAAUAAAUAACAGUGAAAAGUGACAUGGGAGAGGCAGAGGAAAGAUUACUUUAGCUAGAGUGGGCAAGGAAAGAUGCCCCUGGGGAUAUCAUCUGAGUUGAAAACUAGACGAAAAGAAGAAAUUACCAAGGUAUGAUAACAAACAGCAAGAGGCAUGAGUGACUGGUCCAGACAUAGCAAUGGAGGAGAGAAAAAGGAGAUCACCGAGAGAGUAACAAUUUUGGUAAUCCUUUAUAUACUAUGGUAAUGAGUAUGCUUAUAUUAAAAAUCAGUACAGAAAGUACUCAGAUGUAAACAGGAGAAGUAAUGGUAGUGAGUACAGCGAGGCUGCUAGUAACAGAAUUUCAUGACAGGAGGACCUUUGCUGAAAAUUUUAUUUGGAAUGAUAAAUAUUGGUAAUAAAAAGUAAGUAGAUAUAUAGAAAUGCCAUGAUUCAAAAGAAAGUCUAGAAAUUUGCUGUUUUGUUGAUUUUUAAAAUAAUCUUAUUAGCCUAGUUCCUAGACAUAAUAAUUUGACAACCAGGUGAAGCCUUUUGAAAUAUCAAUAAAGCAGAAUUACACAAUAUAAAUUUGCCUAAACUGUACCCAACUAACAGGUCAAAUUGUCAACACUUAAAUUUUGCAUAUUAAACUUAGGGGAAAGAAUAUUCUAGCUGCAUUUUAAUUAGGGCUGGAGACAAUAGUGCUAACAAUUUAGAAAAGCCAGUGUAAAGGGGGGGAUUGCAAACUUCAGUGUGACUUUCAGCAGUAGGGACUUUGCGUGUAGUAGAUUAUAUCAUUUACAAAUUCCUCAUGCUAACCCUGAGGGAGAGAGGUCAUCUCACUGCCUCAGUAGCAUCAGCUUUGAUCAGGUGACUUUCUUUAGUAAGACAUGGAAUGUGAGAAUUCCAUCUGUCACACAGAACUGUUGGCUCCCAUGUGUGCUACUCUCUCUCUUCUCUUUUCCCAUCAUGACAAGAUCAAGUUAUGUUCCAAACAGUGGCUACUUUACCAGCUUGAAUGCUGUUUGGAAAGAGCCGUCGUGUGUCUAUGAUAGGCAUGUAUAGAAAGUAGGAAAGAAAGCUUUACUGUUUAAAAUCAUAGUAAUUGUGAUUAGCAGUGUAGUCUGUCUCAAAAAGAAUUACACCUUUGACCAGUGAUGCAGGGUUCAAAUAGAAAAGAAGCAGACUACAUAUUGCCAAAGGAACUCUUAGCUUUGGGUUUUAAAAACUGUGACUGUUUGAGAUAUGAAUUGACAUUACAUUUCUCCAGUCCUCUAGAGGAAAGAAUCAGGCAGAAAAAUAUGCUGUGCUUAUGAACUCCUUACAUGGAUUCAAGCCAAGAAGCAAGGAAGAACACUGACAAAAUCAUGCUCUAGUUAAAGACUAGGUAACUCUGUGGCAACGUAUAUCCAACAGCAUGUCAAUGUCUGUAUACAGUCCUCAUCCUCUUCACUAUAAGUAUCCAGUAUCAAGUCUCUGUUCUACUGUAGAAAAUUAUGUGUGUCUGUUGUAGGGCAGUUAAAGGUGGUGUUAAUUCACAGACCUUCAGACCGAUCAAAAACAAUCCUAGAAAAACAAACCACCUAGAAAUCACAGUAUUGGACUGGGACUAUAACUCAGUUCUCUAUCACUUGCUUAGUGUGUGUAAGAAUUUUAGUUCCAUCCGUAGCACUGAAAAGAAAUUUUAAAGACGAUAAAAGGAGGGGAAAAAUAAGAAAAGAAAAACUAAGUCAGGAAUGACAGAAAGAGAAAAGAUAAUAAGAGAAGAAGCAUCUACAGCAUCAUUUGUAGAUCUUAGACUGAGUUAGGAAUACCGACAGAUGGAGUUUUAGGUUCUCCCAGUGCUGAAGGCACUUUGAGCACAGAUAGUGGAGACCUGAGUGUCUUGAAGAGAGUCAUUUUGGAGAGUCCGAAAUGAUUGUAAUUUAAAAAAAAAAUGACAAUUGUUUUAUAUUGGCCUUUGUUCACAUAUUUAAUGCUUUUUCUUGGAAAAAUUAUAUUUAGUCCUUUGGCUAGUGUCAAGCUCAGACAGGUAACUUGAUUUGGUCAAUGAAGCAUGCACCAUUAAAAAUAAAAAUAAUAUAAAAAGAAGGCUGAGGAGAUGUCACCAUAAAAGAUGCUUACCUUUCAAGUAUGAGUACCUGAGAUUUCAUCCCUAGAACUCAAGUUCAGCCCCAUUCUCCAAUCCUAGAGAAAACAGACAGACCCUAGAAGCUCCCAAGAUACAAGCUCACAAGGCUGGAGGAUGAAGUAGCCAACAGGAAGGAAUUCUGUCUCAAACGAGGUAGAAGACAAGCGUCAAUCCUUGAUGAUCUCCUCCAACCUCCACCUGACUGCCAUUAUGCAUGUCUUCACAAAUAUGCAUACACACUC
rnacentral:lncRNA from 1 species